GGUGAAAAUGAUGAAUUCUGGGUCUCUGAGUCAUGUGACCUGAAAAAGGCCAUCCAUUUCCUGAUUCACC
rnacentral:snoRNA from 2 species